UUAGAGUUUGAUCCUGGCUCAGAUUGUACGCUGGCGGCAGGCCUAACACAUGCAAGUCGAGCGGAUGAGUGGAGCUUGCUCCAUGAUUCAGCGGCGGACGGGUGAGUAAUGCCUAGGAAUCUGCCUGGUAGUGGGGGACAACGUUUCGAAAGGAACGCUAAUACCGCAUACGUCCUACGGGAGAAAGCAGGGGACCUUCGGGCCUUGCGCUAUCAGAUGAGCCUAGGUCGGAUUAGCUAGUAGGUGAGGUAAAGGCUCACCUAGGCGACGAUCCGUAACUGGUCUGAGAGGAUGAUCAGUCACACUGGAACUGAGACACGGUCCAGACUCCUACGGGAGGCGGCAGUGGGGAAUAUUGGACAAUGGGCGAAAGCCUGAUCCAGCCAUGCCGCGUGUGUGAAGAAGGUCUUCGGAUUGUAAAGCACUUUAAGUUGGGAGGAAGGGCAGUAAGUUAAUACCUUGCUGUUUUGACGUUACCAACAGAAUAAGCACCGGCUAACUUCGUGCCAGCAGCCGCGGUAAUACGAAGGGUGCAAGCGUUAAUCGGAAUUACUGGGCGUAAAGCGCGCGUAGGUGGUUCAGCAAGUUGGAGGUGAAAUCCCCGGGCUCAACCUGGGAACUGCCUCCAAAACUACUGAGCUAGAGUACGGUAGAGGGUAGUGGAAUUUCCUGUGUAGCGGUGAAAUGCGUAGAUAUAGGAAGGAACACCAGUGGCGAAGGCGACUACCUGGACUGAUACUGACACUGAGGUGCGAAAGCGUGGGGAGCAAACAGGAAAAGAUACCCUGGUAGUCCACGCCGUAAACGAUGUC
rnacentral:rRNA from 1 species